UACGUAGGGCGCAAGCGUUGUCCGGAAUUAUUGGGCGUAAAGAGCUCGUAGGCGGUUUGUCGCGUCUGCUGUGAAAACCUAAGGCUCAACCUUGGGCUUGCAGUGGGUACGGGCAGACUAGAGUGCAGUAGGGGUGACUGGAAUUCCUGGUGUAGCGGUGGAAUGCGCAGAUAUCAGGAGGAACACCGAUGGCGAAGGCAGGUCACUGGGCCGCAACUGACGCUGAGGAGCGAAAGCAUGGGGAGCGAACAGG
rnacentral:rRNA from 1 species